rnacentral:rRNA from 1 species
CGAACGGGUGAGUAACACGUAGGAACUUUAUUUAAGUUGAGGAUAUCCCACCGAAAGGUGGUGCAAUACUCGAUGUGAUCGCAAGAUUAAAGUCGCAAGACGCUUAAAGUGAGGCCUGCGGAAUAUCAGCUAGUUGGUAAGGUAAUGGCUUACCAAGGCUAUGACAUUUAGCGGAUCUGAGAGGAUGACCCGCCACACUGGGACUGCGACACGGCCCAG